ACCUGGCCUUCGGGCCAGGGGACAGCGGCGAACGGGUGAGUAACACGUGGGCAACCCGCCCUCGGCACUGGGAUAGCCCGGGGAAACCCGGAUUAAUACCGGAUAGCCUCCGGAGCCUUCGGGCGCCGGAAGAAAGGUGGCUUCGGCAUCCGGCCGAGGACGGGCCCGCGGCGGAUUAGCUUGUUGGUGGGGUAACGGCCUACCAAGGCGACGAUCCGUAGCUGGUCUGAGAGGACGAUCAGCCACACUGGGACUGAGACACGGCCCAGACUCCUACGGGAGGCAGCAGUGGGGAAUCUUGCGCAAUGGGCGAAAGCCUGACGCAGCGACGCCGCGUGCGGGAAGAAGGCCUUCGGG
rnacentral:rRNA from 1 species